UACGUAGGGCGCAAGCGUUAUCCGGAAUUAUUGGGCGUAAAGGGCUCGUAGGCGGUCCAUCGCGUCGGGAAGUGAAAAGCUGGGGCUUAACCCCAGUCCUGCUUCCGAUACGGGUGGACGUAGAGGUAGGCAGGGGAGAAGCGGAAUUCCGUGGUGUAGCGGUGAAAUGCGCAGAUAUCAGGAGGAACACCGGUGGCGAAGGCGGCAUCCUGGACCGGCAUUGACGCUGAGUGAGCGAAAGCCAGGGGAGCAAACGGG
rnacentral:rRNA from 1 species